AGCACUUUAAAACUUCAAAGAGAGAAAAAGUUUCCAGUUCCAGGUCUGGACUUCUGACCGGGGUCUCUGAAGCCAUGGCAGCCCAUGUGGAUAGUGAACAUGACGUGGUCCAGGAAGAGGAUGCGGCAAUGCUCACACUUGAAGGCCUUCACGGGCUCGCCACUCUCACCCACCACCCGAAGCACUUCCUUGGAGGGACCUGGGGUGCCCCGUGCUUUCCACACUGAGAUACCAAGAGAUCUCCAGAGAAACCAUCACUGAUAGAGAAAUUCUGAGAAAAGGAAUAAAAGAACAGAG